rnacentral:rRNA from 1 species
UACACACGUGCUACAAUGGCGCAUACAAAGAGAAGCGACCUCGCGAGAGCAAGCGGACCUCAUAAAGUGCGUCGUAGUCCGGAUUGGAGUCUGCAACUCGACUCCAUGAAGUCGGAAUCGCUAGUAAUCGUGGAUCAGAAUGCCACGGUGAAUACGUUCCCGGGCCUUGUACACACCGCCCGUCACACCAUGGGAGUGGGUUGCAAAAGAAGUAGGUAGCUUAACCUUCGGGAGGGCGCUUACCACUUUGUGAUUCAUGACUGGGGUGAAGUCGUAACAAGGUAACCGUAGGGGAACCUGCGGUUGGA